CAAAAAGAAGAAUCAUUUAGCGACACAUUUGGCAUAUCAAAAUUUGCUGCCCGAACUGUUCAGCCGGCAUUCAAAAUCAGCUGCCAUGUGCGUCGUUUAUUAACUCCCAAAACUGACAGCAAACGUCAGACGGCCGACAACUGACGAUAUCACAACUACGCACUAUAUACCACUAAUAUAUAUGUUCAGUUUCCAUCUCGCUGUCUUUAGCUGACUUGCAUGCAAAAUUAAUUACGGGCAAAAUUUGUUUACGAUGCUGACGUUGACGUAGACGCUGUCGUUGUCGUUGUCGUUGUCGUUGUCGUUGUCGUUGUUGCUGUCGCCGUCGCUGGCUUUGCUGAGUUUCUACCACGCGCGCUGCUUCAGCCAUAAAAGUUUUACGUUAUAGCCCUAACCGAAUUUAGAGCCAGGCCCAGC